CCCUUAGAUGUUCUGGGCUGCACGCGCGCUACACUGACACUAUCAACGAGUGCUCCUGGUUUGAAAGGAUCGGGUAAUCUUUUGAAAUGGUGUCGUGAUGGGGAUAGAUCAUUGCAAUUAUUGAUCUUGAACGAGGAAUUCCUAGUAAAUGUGAGUCAUCAGCUCACGUUGAUUACGUCCCUGCCCUUUGUACACACCGCCCGUCGCUCCUACCGAUUGAGUGAACCGAUGAGUAGUCCGGAUUGCGAUCGACCUCGGUUAAUCGCGAGAAGUUCCGCAAAUCACUUCACUUAGGGGAAGGAGAAGUCGUAACA
rnacentral:rRNA from 1 species